AACGCACAUUGCGCCCUGUGGUAUUCCGCAGGGCAUGCCUGUUCGAGCGUCAUUACAACCACUCAAGCUUGGCUUGGUAUUGGGGUUUGCGGUUCCGCAGCCCCUAAAACUAGUGGCGGUGCCGGUGUGGCUCUACGCGUAGUAAUUCUUCUCGCGAUGGAGUUCCCCUGGAUACCUGCCAGAACCCCCCAAUUUUUACAGGUUGACCUCGGAUCAGGUAGGGAUACCCGCUGAACUUAA
rnacentral:misc_RNA from 1 species